UAAUUAUUCUUCUUUUUACAACUAGUUCAUCUCUUUACAUCCCAUUUUCUUAUCUCAAUUUAGGCUCAUGUCUUCAAAAAUCAGACGGAAAGUGCUAAAAGUUUGAACUAUAUGAUUUACUUUUUUCUAUCUUUUUAAUUCACGCAAAAUGUAUUUUAUGCGUUUUGAGGAUGGAAUAUUAACACGUUACAAAAAUUUAACAACAUGUAACAUAUAAUAUUUUCAUUAUAUAUACGAAACAAAAAGAGUACGUUCAUUGAGAUCUUAGAAAUUCAAGACGUCUUCGCAUUAACCGGGGACGAGUGAAACAAACAGGCAAAAAAAAACACAUUUAGAAACAUUCACACACUUUUCUUCUCUAGUGUUGAUACCAAUUUGAGGAUUACAACUGCUUGCAGAAUGGUACUCUUUGCUACGGUUUAGAGCUUUAUUUUGGAUACAACAAUAUGACUUCCGGACCUUUUCGUUUCCAUGGCAACGGCGGCCAUUUUUGAAUUCCAAGGUAUGAGGCAAAGCGGUAUAUAUGGUAGAAAAAUCAGCACCAUAAACAGAUUCGAAAGCACCAAUAUGAACAUGCAAUUUAUCAAAUACUUUCAACGAUUUUUUGACACUCCAAAAGUGAUUAACACACUGUUUUCAACCUUAUUUUAUUACCAGGUUCUUGAUUGAACAAAGUGUACUGGUAAGUAAAAUAGACGAUUUAGUAGUGGAACAAUGACUUGAAGACAACCCACAUCUUGUAAGGUGUUUUGUGUAGCUUCGGAGACCAGUACAAACUUGGAACAUUCAUGUUACUCGGUUCUGCUUGUAAAGAGGUAGGAAAAGGUUUAUGUUUUUGUUAAUGAUGUCGUUUUCCGAAAAUUAAGUCAGUCAGUUGAAAUGUUUGUGAAUUUGUGUUUUUUUUUUGCAGAACCUCAAUAUAAAAUUUACGUCAAACAACAAUUACAUUAUUGGCAGCCUUAUCAAUUCUCUUAGCUAUGUUUUAUACGAGAAAUAGGGCUAUUAUGGCUGUUAGGAGUAAAAUAUCCUUUAAAAUGAUUAAUACGAAUAUCAACUAUUCUCAUUACUGAAUUGAAAAAAAAAUAUCCAUUUUAUACAGUAAGUAUUGAGUGAGUCAUCGAUGAUGUUGCGACACUCAACCCACUUAAAAUUGACCAUGGACUAUAUUUAGGCACUUUGCUAAGUAAUGUUUUAACUCCUGCUCCUAGACAGUGUUAUAACAUGGAAACUGGGGUCAUAAAUGUAUUUAGAAUUACUGCAAUUUCAUGUCGUAGGUGUAGUGUCACUGAUAUUAAAUCUUUACACACCUCGCUUUAAUGAAAAACAUAUUUUCGGGUAGAUUUUUUGUAAACAUAACAAAUCAGAGGGAGCUCAGUAUGAUCAAAUUAACCAGGAAUUUGUUCUUUUACAGCAUGAUCAUUAAGAAUACCGACAAUAUUUAUAAAAUUAAAACCUUUUUAUUAACCUAUUUGAUUUUAAAGAAAUGUUUUUAUGAUCUUCCGGUCUAUCAAUUAUGGGAAACAGUUGAGAAUAACAGUAUGCAAUUAUAAUUUGGAAGAUUUUUUUUGAAAUGCAAUAUGGAAAUUUGUUGCAAUCCUCCAAAAUUUGAUGUAGUUCAUUGACAGGUAAAGAACAGAUCUUGGUAAAUAGAUGAUGUCUGCUGUUGUUUUUGUAUGUCCGAAAUAUUUUUAUUGUUAGUUCGAAAUUUCUCUUUUUACAAUUUAUUCUACAUCUGUGAGAACGGUUUUUUAUGUACAGUUUUAGAAACUAUAAAUGUUAACAGAAUCGGUUCUUGAUAAAUUAUCAAUUCCCAUGAUAUUAUCAUUAAGAGCAAUAGGAUAAACUGUCUGUAAAUAUUUAAUCCAAUUUAAUUCAAUUAUUUUCCGUGAUCGUACAAGCUUUGAAUUAGAUUCCCCAGGUUGCAUAUUGAAUUCUUCUAAAUGUUGCAAACGUGUCUCGGUAUUCCCACCAUUGUGUUAUUGUGCUAUAGUCAUUUUCAUAUUCUUGUCUUUCAUUUUUGCACAUGUACUUUGUCCAUAGAGUAUCUAUAUGACUUUUUUGUUUUUCUUUGUUGAAAUAGUUUGUUUUUAUAGUGAUUAAGAUUAUAACACAAUGUUGACUGCUUUACCCCAAUUUUGACAUUUUAACCUAUUAUGUCUGUUUGUUUUGCUCACAUAUUGUUGUUAACAUUAUGGAGUUUUAUGCGACUGUCAUACAAGUGAGAGGUUUAGCUAGCUAUACAAUCCUGUUUAAUCCACCAUUUUCUACAUAAGAAAAUGCCUGUUCCCAGCCAGAAAUAUGACAGUUGUUUUCCAUUCGUUUGAUGUGUUUGAGCUUUUGAUUUUGCCAUUUGAUAAAGGACUUUCCUUUGUAUUUUCCUUGUAGUUCGGUAUUUUUGUUAUUUUUCUUUUUUUUUAGAACUGUUAUAUAUUUGAUAUAGUGAUUGUGCUUCUGAAGGUGUUGAUAAAUGAUAUUUUUAAAUUGAUGUGGUCUUCCAAAACGAUAAAGGUGUUUUUGUGUACGUUUAGAUAAAAAGCUUUCUGCUUCACCCACGCACUGAACACCGCAGCCCGGUUUAAUUCAGGUAAGUAAACAGAUAAUGUUGUUUGUUUUUCAAUUUAUUCAGUUUCAAAAUUUCAGGAAACUGUACAAUCUUUAAAGUGGACCAUACUGUAUUGUUGGUGGAAAGACGGGGACAUGUAAGUCUUUUUUUUGUCUUGGCACUCAUCAAUAGAAGGGUAACAACGAUAUUGAUUAUUUAAAAUGUUAGCAAUUGUAUUUUAUUUAGAUAAGCGAUGUUGAAGAUUGAUGCGUGUAGAUAACCUAUGCCCAAGAUUGGUAUUCAGUAUUUUUCCGUUUUUGAGCAUGAUUUUGUUAUCACAUCUUGAUUGAAAGGAACAGAAACUGGCAUACAGAAUAUGAACCAGCAUUUAGGAAUUGAAGAAAGUAAAAAGAUAUAACUCUAUAGCGUGAGACGUCAAACGCUAUUCGUCAUCAAAUAUCCGACAAAAUAUGUAAACUACGAAACCAGAGAACAGCAACAAAAGACAGGGUAUAUCAAGGUAGCGCUUGAUGUCUGACAAAUUAAAGAAUGGGGUGCAGAAUGAAAUAUGCCUGAAGAAAUGAACGUAGAGAAGCUAUCGCUCGGGCAUACACUCCAUCAUCUUGUAUAUUAUAAUUAUAUCCUUCAGCAUGGGGAGGCAGUCUACUGUCUCCACAGGACAUUAAAGACAAACUCUAAAAAUUGAAUAGAGAAUGGAAACAGUGAAUGAGUCGAAGAGACAACAACCCGAUCAAAGAGCAGUACAAAGCCUCACAAAGACUCACAAUGGCUAGAGGUACCUGACUUCAGACUAGAAUAAACAAACACACAGCAAUGCGCAUAGUAAAAAUCAUUUUAAAAGAAGUCCGAGUCCGAUGUUAAUGGCGAUGAUCAACACAAAUAAUUAAAGGAAAACUAGCAGUUAAUGUCUUAUCCAGCUCCAGACCUAAAUUAAACUGAUCGAAAGAUAAUGUCUUCAUCAUAUGAAAAUCAACCUUGGCUGCAUUUAAAAUGCUGAACAUAAGAUUGGGCAAUUAACUAUUGACAUAUAUUUAGAAGGUAAAUUUUACAAGGUUUAAAUGGUUUAAUUCUAGAUUUCCCGAAUAACGGAAAUUUCUGAAUUGAACUAAACAUCAAUCUCGAAUUGCUUUUGUGAAUUAGUUAAACCGGAUAACCCGAUGUCAAUCGUUGUAAAUGACGUUUUUAAAUAAUCGGUUUAUACUGGAACGUAAUAACAUAAGCAUUGUGACACACUAAUUCGAAAGUUUUGUAUUGACAAAUUUAAAAAAAAAAAAGAAAAUAAACUGCAGUUAUAUACAAAUAAGAAAUAUCCAAUAUUUUUGUUCUUUAUUUAUGAUAAAAAUGGGUUUUUUACUACUUUUGAUUUUAUUUUUACUUGCAAGGCAAAUCAUCAUAGAAGGAAUGUUCCCUUUUGAAAGUUGGACGAACACCAAUCACAAGCAAACAGUGUAUACUCAGUAUUGUGAGAAGCACUCCAGUCGCAAAAUCGUAGCCACAUAGUGUCAAUGCUUACUAAAUAGAUAGUUAAGUUUUAGGAUAACUGUUCAAUCUUUAUUUUUUGUACCUAUUUAAUUAAAAAAACAGGUUUCAGAUUUAA